UAGGGAAUCUUGGGCAAUGGACGAAAGUCUGACCGAGCAACGCCGCGUGAGUGAAGAAGGUUUUCGGAUCGUAAAACUCUGUUGGUAGAGAAGAACAAGGACGUUAGUAACUGAACGUCCCCGGACGGUAUCGAACCAGAAAGCCACGGCUAACUACGUGCCAGCAGCCGCGGUAAUACGUAGGGGGCAAGCGUUGUCCGGAUUUAUUGGGCGUAAAGCGAGCGCAGGCGGUUGCUUAAGUCUGAUGUGAAAGCCCCCGGCUCAACCGGGGAGGGUCAUUUGAAACUGGGAGACUUGAGUGCAGAAGAGGAGAGUGGAAUUCCAUGUGUAGCGGUGAAAUGCGUAGAUAUAUGGAGGAACACCAGUGGCGAAGGCGGCUCUCUGGUCUGUAACUGACGCUGAGGCUCGAAAGCGUGGGGAGCAAACAGG
rnacentral:rRNA from 1 species